rnacentral:rRNA from 1 species
GACGAACGCUGGCGGCGUGCUUAACACAUGCAAGUCGAACGAAGUGGCGAACGGGUGAGUAACGCGUAAUUAACCUGCCCUUCAGAGGGGGACAAAAGUUGGAAACGACUGCUAAUACCGCAUACUGAAGGAGGGGAUUGCGUCUGAUUAGCUAGUGGGAGGGGUCACGGCCCACCAAGGCGAUGAUAAGUGGCCGGUCUGGGAGGAUGAACGGCCACAUUGGGACUGUGACACGGCCCAGACUCCUACGGGAGGCAGCAGUGGGGAAUCGUCCGCAAUGGACGAAAGUCUGACGGAGCAACGCCGCGUGAGGGAUGACGGCCUUCGGGUUGUAAAGCUCUGUUAAUCGGGACGCGGUACCGGAAUAGAAAGCCACGGCUAACUACGUGCCAGCCGCCGCGGUAAUUC